AUAAAAAGUACCAAUGAUUGUCACACACACUAGGUAUGGUGAAAUUAACCUCUGCAUUUGACCCAUCCCCUUGUUCACCCCCUGGGAGGUGAGGGGAGCAGUGAGCAGCAGCAGUGGCCGGGCCCGGGAAUCAUUUUGGUGAUUUAACCCCCAAUUCCAAUCCUUGAUGCUGAGUGCCAAGCAGGGAGUUAAUGGGUCCCAUUUUUAUAGUCUUUGGUAUGACUCGGCCGGGGAUUGAACUCACGACCUACCAAUAUCAGGGCGGACACUCUAACCACAAGGCCACUGGGUCAGCCAGUUGCCAGAAAAGAUGUGUUAUUGUUUGUGCAGUGACGUCAUCUUUUGGACGAGUUCGCUCACUGCAGGUAUUGCGGGUUGGAAAUGUACUUCCUGGUUUAAUGCCUUGAACCGGAAGUAAAACCGUCCAUAGCGUUUCUGCUCGAGAGGAUUCUUCAUUUGUCACUCCAAGCAACUUUUUUAAGUUUUACAAUAUAACUAAAACAAAUCUUACCUGCUAAACUGUCCCAUGUGUGAUGUCUGUAGGAGUGUUUUCAUGCAUGUUUAUUUGUACAUGCUGUCGUAAUGUAAUGAAACUGCCGUUGUUAGCAUUUGCUAAUAUGCUAACACAUUUACGAGUGUAUGCGUUAGUAUUAUUUUUGUAUUGUUUCAGUUUCACAAAUUGCUCAGUAAACUCACCAAGACGUCACUGUGGAGUUUUUUAGUCUGUUUAGCUUCCGCAGCCAGUGGGUCCAUGACAAUGACUUCCGUUUUGUUUGAUCAGCCCUUUUACUGCCGUGUUACAGGCACCGUUUGAAAACAAUGAAGUAAUUUAAAUUUUGCUAAAUACUUCUGCUUAAAUAACUAAUUUCACAACCAAAUAUCUGCGGCUUAUAGUUCGGUGAGGCUAAUAUAUGGAAAAAAUAAUAUUCUAAAAUUUAGUGGGUGCGGCUUUUGUAGAGAAAAAUACAGUGUAUACACAUAAUUUGUCUACUCUAUUUAAAUCCUUUAAUUUCUACAUUUUUAAUAUAUUAUAUUUAAUGUUUUUCUUAAUAAAUAUGUUAUAUUAAUAUUAUAUUAUAUUAUUUAAUAUAUAUUUUAUAUAUACAAUAUUAUGCUUGUAUUGUUUAUUUAUUAGGUUUUAUUUAUUUAUUUAAAAAAUAUAUGUAUCCCAGCUUUGUGUUGUAAAACAAUGCACAUACUGUGUAAUUGUUUUUAUUGUGAGGUCAAGUUUCAUUUUUGGUUUUCAGAAAAUUCAGAGGGUCCAUAAAAAAUAAGGCUGCGGGCCACAAAUGGCCCCUGGGCCAGACUUGGGUCACUUUUGACCUUAGCUAUCUAUCUGUCCUGACACGUGUUCUUUUAUAGGAAAUGUCUGUCAUGUUAUACACAGUUGAUAUGUAUCUGUAACUAUGUGAUGUAACUUUGUUCAAACAAUAACUAGACUAACAAAUCAAAGAAAAAUGUCCCCAACUUAUAAAACUAUGACGACGUUCAUCAUUUUGGGAGUUUUUUGACACGGCUUGUUUGUGCAAAGCCAACCAAAGUGUUAGCACUCUUAGCGCUGGCUACGAGAGUGUUCUUCAGUGAUUAUGACAUUUUUUUCCAAAGUUCUUUCACGCCAUGCGCUAAUGUUCUAACACGGAGCUGCUUCACCACAGACGGCUGGCGCUGACCCAAAAUGCGGCAUUUUUGGGCGGGAAAGAGAGUUUGUUGACGCUUUCCAUUUAACGCAACUUUGGUCGCAUUACAGGCUAUUUAACUCCCACUUUUAUAUCACGCUAAAUCUCCAAAGUUAACGACUUAACUUUUUUUCUACCGCAGCACCACCUGACUUGUGUUGUUUCAAUCUGCUCUCAACAUGUCCGAAAAGGAGUAGGAAUAAGCAAAGCUUAUCAAACUAGUCAAACAUCCUUUUUAGACAGGAGUCUCCAGCUGCUUCUAAAGACCUUCUGCAAAAAACUAGUCAAAGAUGCUCUAUAAGACAGGAGUCGUUAGCUGCUUCUAAAGACCUUCUGCAAAAAAACUAGUCAAAGAUGCUCUAUAAGACAGGAGUCUUUAGCUGCUUCUAAAGACCUUCUGCAAAAAACUAGUCAAAGAUGCUCUAUAAGACAGGAGUCUUUAGCUGCUUCUAAAGACCUUCUGCAAAAAAACUAGUCAAAUAUCCUAUGUAAGACAGGAGUCUACAGGUGCUUCUAAAGACCUUAUGCAAAAAAGAGUUAAAGAUCCUCUUUAACACAUGGGUCUUCAGCUGCUUCUAAAUACCUUCUGCAAAAACUGGUCAAAGAUCUUCUCUAAGACAGGAGUCUUCAGCUGCUUCUAAAGACCUUCUGCAAAAAACUAGUCAAAGAUCAUCUAUAACAGUGGUCCCCAACCACCGGGCCGCGGACUGGUACCGGGCCGCACAAGAAAAAAAAUAAUAAUUAAAAAAUAAGGUUUUUAUUUUUGUUUUUUAAAUUUUUUUAGUUAAAUCAACAUAAAAAAACACAAUAUAUACAUUAUAUAUCAAAAUAGAUCAAUACAGUCUGCAGGGAUACAGUCCGUAAGCACACAUGAUUGUAUUUCUUUAUGAAAAAAAAAAAAAAAAUCCCCCCCCACCCCCGGAGAGCGCGGCGAGGCCAGCCCACGGCCACCCCACCCAAGCCGGCCGCCACAGGACCACCCAGCACGGGGCCACGGGAACCACCCACCCCACCCGCAGCGACCCAAAAUAUGGAGAUGGAACAACCAGCAACCGCCCCGCCGAGUCCCCCUCCUGAGGUAGGGGAAAUAAAUAAAUAAAAUAAAUAAAUAAAUCAUAAUAAUAAUAAUAAUAAUCAUAUUAAUCAAAUAUAUUAAAAAAUAAGAAUAAAUAAAUAAUUAAAUCUAUUAAAAAAAAAAAAAAAAAAAAGAAUUAAAAGAAGAUCACAGACAUGCUUACACACAAGGUCGCUACCCCAACAACUGGCCGACUCGCAGCACCUCGAAUACCCUGAAGCACCAAGCUACCACAGUAGACGCAGGGACCAGACCCAGCAGGCCCCAACCAAGACGGGCACCCGGAAGGGAUGGACGGUGGGACCCAGGAGCUCCAGACACGCAGUCUUCAGCUGCUUCUAAAUACCUCCUGCAAAAAAAACUAGUCAAAGAUCCUCUAUAUGACAUGAAACCGUAGCUGUUUUUAAUAAGCUUCAGCAAAAAAAAGCUAGUCAAAGAGAGGAGAACUUUGCUGUUUUUUAAGAACCUACUGCAAAAAAGCUAGUCAAAGAUCAUUUUAAUGACAGAAGAACUUUGAUGCGUUUAAGAACAUACUGCAAACAAUCCAGUCAAAGAUCAUCUAUAUGAAAGGAAACUGUUGCUGUUUUUAAGAACCUACUGCAAAAAAGCUAGUCAAAGAUCCUUUAUAUGACAGGAGUAUGUGGCUGUUUUUAAGAACCUACUGCAAAAACGCUAGUCAAAGAUCCUCUAAAUGACAGGAAGCAGUUGCUGCGUUUAAGAAGCUCCAGCAAAAAAAAACUAGUCAAAGAUCCUCUAUAUAAAGAAGAACUUUUCUGUUUUUAAGAACCGACUGCAAAAAAAAAGCUAGUCAAAGAUCCUCUAUAUGACAUGAAACCGUUGCUGUUUUUAAUAAGCUUCAGCAAAAAAAAGCUAGUCAAAGAGAGGAGAACUUUGCUGUUUUUUAAGAACCUACUGCAAAAAAGCUGGUCAAAGAUCAUUUUAAUGACAGAAGAACUUUGAUGUGUUUAAGACCAUACUGCAAACAAUCUAGUCAAAGAUCCUCUAUAUAAAGAAGAACUUUGCUGUUUUUAAGAACCGACUGCAAAAAAAAGCUAGUCAAAGAUCCUCUAUAUGACAUGAAACCGUAGCUGUUUUUAAUAAGCUUCAGCAAAAAAAAGCUAGUCAAAGAGAAGAGAACUUUGCUGUUUUUUAAGAACCUACUGCAAAAAAGCUAGUCAAAGAUCAUUUUAAUGACAAAAGAACUUUGAUGUGUUUAAGAACAUACUGCAAACAAUCUAGUCAAAGAUCCUCUAUAUGACAGGAAACUGUUGCUGUUUUUAAGAACCUACUGCAAAAAAGCUAGUCAAAGAUCCUUUAUAUGACAGGUGUAUGUGGCUGUUUUUAAGAACCUACUGCAAAAACGCUAGUCAAAGAUCCUCUAAAUGACAGGAAACAGUUGCUACGUUUAAGAAUUUCCAGCAAAAAAAGCUAGUCAAAGAUCCUCUAUAUAAAGAAGAACUUUGCUGUUUUUAAGAACCGACUGCAAAAAAAAGCUAGUCAAAGAUCCUCUAUAUGACAUGAAACCGUUGCUGUUUUUAAUAAGCUUCAGCAAAAAAAAGCUAGUCAAAGAGAGGAGAACUUUGCUGUUUUUUAAGAACCUACUGCAAAAAAGCUAGUCAAAGAUCAUUUUAAUGACAGAAGAACUUUGAUGUGUUUAAGAACAUACUGCAAACAAUCUAGUCAAAGAUCCUCUAUAUGACAGGAAACUGCUGCUGUUUUUAAGAACCUACUGCAAAAAAGCUAGUCAAAGAUCCUUUAUACGACAGGUGUAUGUGGCUGUUUUUAAGAACCUACUGCAAAAACGCUAGUCAAAGAUCCUCUAAAUGACAGGAAACAGUUGCUGCGUUUAAGAAUUUCCAGCAAAAAAAGCUAGUCAAAGAUCCUCUAUAUAAAGAAGAACUUUGCUGUUUUUAAGAACCGACUGCAAAAAAAAGCUAGUCAAAGAUCCUCUAUAUGACAUGAAACCGUUGCUGUUUUUAAUAAGCUUCAGCAAAAAAAAGCUAGUCAAAGAGAGGAGAACUUUGCUGUUUUUUAAGAACCUACUGCAAAAAAGCUAGUCAAAGAUCAUUUUAAUGACAGAAGAACUUUGAUGUGUUUAAGAACAUACUGCAAACAAUCUAGUCAAAGAUCCUCUAUAUGACAGGAAACUGUUGCUGUUUUUAAGAACCUACUGCAAAAAAGCUAGUCAAAGAUCAUUUUAAUGACAAAAGAACUUUGAUGUGUUUAAGAACAUACUGCAAACAAUCUAGUCAAAGAUCCUCUAUAUGACAGGAAACUGUUGCUGUUUUUAAGAACCUACUGCAAAAAAGCUAGUCAAAGAUCCUUUAUAUGACAGGUGUAUGUGGCUGUUUUUAAGAACCUACUGCAAAAACGCUAGUCAAAGAUCCUCUAAAUGACCGGAAACAGUUGCUGCGUUUAAGAAUUUCCAGCAAAAAAAGCUAGUCAAAGAUCCUCUAUAUAAAGAAGAACUUUGCUGUUUUUAAGAACCGACUGCAAAAAAAAACUAGUCAAAGAUCAUCUAUAUGACAUGAAACCGUUGCUGUUUUUAAUAAGCUUCAGCAAAAAAAAGCUAGUCAAAGAGAGGAGAACUUUGCUGUUUUUUAAGAACCUACUGCAAAAAAGCUAGUCAAAGAUCAUUUUAAUGACAGAAGAACUUUGAUGUGUUUAAGAACAUACUGCAAACAAUCUAGUCAAAAAUCCUCUAUAUGACAGGAAACUGUUGCUGUUUUUAAGAACCUACUGCAAAAAAGCUAGUCAAAGAUCCUUUAUAUGACAGGUGUGUGUGUGGCUGUUUUUAAGAACCUACUGCAAAAACGCUAGUCAAAGAUCCUCUAAAUGACAGGAAACAGUUGCUGCGUUUAAGAAGCUCCAGCAAAAAAAGCUAGUCAAAGAUCCUCUAUAUAAAGAAGAACUUUGCUGUUUUUAAGAACCGACUGCAAAAAAAGCUAGUCAAAGAUCCUCUAUAUGACAUGAAACCGUUGCUGUUUUUAAUAAGCUUCAGCAAAAAAAAGGUAGUCAAAGAGAGGAGAACUUUGCUGUUUUUUAAGAACCUACUGCAAAAAAGCUAGUCAAAGAUCAUUUUAAUGACAGCAGAACUUUGAUUUGUUUAAGAACAUACUGCAAACAAUCUAGUCAAAGAUCCUCUAUAUGACAGGAAACUGUUGCUGUUUUUAAGAACCUACUGCAAAAAAGCUAGUCAAAGAUCCUUUAUAUGACAGGUGUAUGUGGCUGUUUUUAAGAACCUACUGCAAAAACGCUAGUCAAAGAUCCUCUAAAUGACAGGAAACAGUUGCUGCGUUUAAGAAGCUCCAGCAAAAAAAGCUAGUCAAAGAUCCUCUAUAUAAAGAAGAACUUUGCUGUUUUUAAGAACCGACUGCAAAAAAAAAGCUAGUCAAAGAUCAUCUAUAUGACAUGAAACCGUUGCUGUUUUUAAUAAGCUUCAGCAAAAAAAAGCUAGUCAAAGAGAGGAGAACUUUGCUGUUUUUUAAGAACCUACUUCAAAAAAGCUAGUCAAAGAUCAUUUUAAUGACAGAAGAACUUUGAUGUGUUUAAGACCAUACUGCAAACAAUCUAGUCAAAGAUCCUCUAUAUAAAUAAGAACUUUGCUGUUUUUAAGAACCGACUGCAAAAAAAGCUAUUCAAAGAUCCUCUAUAUGACAUGAAACCGUAGCUGUUUUUAAUAAGCUUCAGCAAAAAAAAGCUAGUCAAAGAGAGGAGAACUUUGCUGUUUUUUAAGAACCUACUGCAAAAAAGCUAGUCAAAGAUCAUUUUAAUGACUGAAGAACUUUGAUGUGUUUAAGAACAUACUGCAAACAAUCUAGUCAAAGAUCCUCUAUAUGACAGGAAACUGUUGCUGUUUUUAAGAACCUACUGCAAAAAAGCUAGUCAAAGAUCCUUUAUAUGACAGGUGUAUGUGGCUGUUUUUAAGAACCUACUGCAAAAACGCUAGUCAAAGAUCCUCUAAAUGACAGGAAACAGUUGCUGCGUUUAAGAAGCUCCAACAAAAAAAGCUAGUCAAAGAUCCUCUAUAUGACAGAAGUUUAUGAAGCAGGGUUGCCAUAGCAAUGUUAAGGAUGUUUGUCCCCCCCCCCCCCCCCCCCACCCCAAGCUAGCCAGUGAUUUGUGCUGCAAAGUAUUCGUAAUACAAUCAUUGCACAUUAGUGCUAAAAGCUAACAGCUUGCAGUGUAGCUUGACUUUUGGCAGUCUUUUCUUCAAACGUAACUUUCAGUUUGACCUACUUAAGGCAGGGUGACAAAACACGAUAACAACAAACCACUUCCUCCCCGCAGCGCUGUCAAUACCAAAAAAAAUAAAAAAUAAAGAUUGCGCGGCUCAGAACUCGCCUUGUUUUGCAUUCUGCGACACAAAGCCGAGAGAGGGGAAACAGGCGCCGAUCUCUGGGAGCAAAAUGUGUGUUUGCCAAAGAUGCCUUUCUCCAUAAUCCCGGCUGCAGAACCCCAAACAAGAAGCCAAGGUCAGGCUUCCAAAAGAUGCGGAAGCCACGAUUCUAUCACGUAGAGGAUUUUCAUACGCUUACACUCUUUGUUUCAGCAAACAAAGUCACACAGAAAAGAUUGUUUGGUAGCAAGAAAACAGGCAGCAUGUAUUGUUGUUCUUAUUCAUGAGCAUCUGUCCCAACACUUGACCUCAAUAAAUACAUCAUAUCUUAAAUAUAAACACUAAAGAAUACAUUUACACUAGUCAAAGAGUCAUCUUAGUCAUCUAUAUGACAAGAGUAUUCAGCUGCUUCUAAAGAGCUUCUGCAAAAAAGCUAGUCAAAGAUCCUCUAUGGCAGGAGUCUUCGGCUGCUUGUAAAGACCUUCUGCAAAAAAAACAGUCAAAUAUCUUCUAAAUGGCAGGAGUCUUCAGCGGCUUCCAAAGACCUUCUGCACAAAAACUGGCAAACAAUCAUCUAUAAGACAUGAGUCUUCAGCUGCUUCUAAAGACCUUCUGCAAAAAAAAAAAAAAAAUGUCAAAGAUCCUCUAUAUGGCAGGAGUCUUCAGCUGUAAGACCUUCUGCAAAAAAGCUAGUCAAAGAUCCUGUAUAAGACAGGAGUCUUCAGCUGCUUCCAAAGACCUUCUGCAAAAAAGCUAGUCAAAGAUCCUCUAUGGCAGGAGUCUUCGGCUGCUUGUAAAGACCUUCUGCAAAAAAACAACUCAAAUAUCUUCUAAAUGGCAGGAGUCUUCAGCUGCUUCUAAAGACCUUCUGCAAAAAAAUAAUGUCAAAGAUACUCUAUAUGGCAGGAGUCUUCAGCUGUAAGACCUUCUGCAAAAAACUAGCCAAAGAUCCUGUAUAAGACAGGAGUCUUCAGCUGCUUCCAAAGACCUUCUGCAAAAAAGCUAGUCAAAGAUCCUCUAUGGCAGGAGUCUUCGGCUGCUUGUAAAGACCUUCUGCAAAAAAAACUAGUCAAAUAUCUUCUAAAUGGCAGGAGUCUUCAGCUGCUUCUAAAGACCUUCUGCAAAAAAUAAUGUCAAAUAUACUCUAUAUGGCAGGAGUCUUCAGCUGUAAGACCUUCUGCAAAAAACUAGUCAAAGAUCCUGUAUAAGAGAGGUGUCUUCAGCUGUUUCCAAAGACCUUCUUCAAAAAAUCUAUCCUUUGUAAGACAGGAGUCUUCAGCUGCUUCUAAAGACCUUCUGCAAAAAAAAAAAAAAAAUAGUCAAAGAUCCUCUAUAUGCAGGAGUCAUCAGUUACUUCCAAAGACCUUCUGCAAAGAACUAGUCAAAGAUCCUGUAUAAGACAGGAGUGUUCAGCUGCUUCCAAAGACCUUCUUCAUAAAAUGUAGUCAAAGAUCCUCUGUAAGACAGGAGUCUUCAGCUGCUUCCAAAGACCUUCUGCAAAAAAAUCUAGUCAAAGAUGCUCUAUAAGACAGGAGUCUUCAGCUGCUUAUAAAGACCUUCUGCAAAAAAGCUAGUCAAAGAUCCUCUAUGACAGGAGUCUUCAGCUGCUUGUAAAGACCGUCUGCACAAAAACUAGUAAACAAUCCUCUAUAAGACAUGAGUCUUCAGUUGCUUCCAAAGACCUUCUGCAAAAAACUAGUCAAAGAUCCUGUAUAAGACAGGAGUCUUCAGCUGCUUCCAAAGACCUUCUUCAUAAAAUUUAGUCAAAGAUCCUCUGUAAGACAGGAGUCUUCAGCUGCUUCUAAAGACAUUCUGCAAAAAAAAAUCUAAUCAAAGAUCAUCUAUAAGACAGGAGUCUUCUGCUGCUUCUAAAGACCUUCUGCAAAAAAAGCUAGUCAAAGAUGCUCUAUAAGACAGGACUCUUCAUCUGCUUCUAAAGACCUUCUGCAAAAAAACUAGUCAAAGAUCCUCUAUGACAGGAGUCUUCAGCUGCUUGUAAAGACCUUAUGCAAAAAAACUAGUCAAAGAUCUUCUAAAUGGCAGGAGUCUUCAGCGGCUUCCAAAGACCUUCUGCACAAAAACUAGUAAACAAUCCUCUAUAACACAGGAGUCUUCAACUGCUUCUAAAGACCUUCUGCAAAAAAGCUACUCAAAGAUCCUCUAUAAAAUAGGAGUCUUCAGCUGCUUCCAAAGACCUUCCGAAAAAAACUAGUCACAGAUCCUCUACAAGACCGGAGUCUUCAGCUACUUCCAAAGACCUUCUUCAAAAAAUCUAGUCAAAGAUCCUCUAUAAGACUGGAGUCGUCAGCUGCUUCUAAAGACAUUUUGCAAAAAACUAGUUAAAGAUCCUCUAUAUCCCCAUAGCUCCCACUAUAUACGCCCUCUAGAUCACUAAGAUCUUCUGAGACCAAUCUGUUAGCGGUUCCAAGAGUAAACUCAAAUCAAGGGAGAUCAUCAUUCAGUCACUAUGCAACACAUAGCUGGAAUAAACUUCCUGAAGAUGUCAGACUCUCCCCAACUCUCACUACUUUUAAAACUAGACUGAAGACUUUUAUGUUCACCUUAGCUUUCAGCUAAAUCUUUUAAUCUUUUAACUUUUAACGUCUGCACUGUUUUUAUUUUUAUUGUCUGCAUUUUAAUUUUGCUUUUAUUUUCUUUCAUUUCACUUUGUUGUCUGUGAAGCACUUUGAGUCUGCCUUGUGUAUGAAAAGCGCUAUACAAAUAAAGUUGCCUUGCCUUGCCUUGCCUAUAAGACAGGAGUCUUCUGCUGCUUCCAAAGACCUUCUGCAAAAAAGCUAGUCAAAGAUCCUCUAUGGCAGGAGUCUUCGGCUGCUUGUAAAGACCUUCUGCAAAAAAACUAGUCAAAUAUCUUCUAAAUGGCAGGAGUCUUCAGCUGCUUCUAAAGACCUUCUGCAAAAAAUAAUGUCAAAGAUACUCUAUAUGGCAGGAGUCUUCAGCUGUAAGACCUUCUGCAAAAAACUAGUCAAAGAUCCUGUAUAAGAGAGGAGUGUUCAGCUGCUUCCAAAGACCUUCUUCAUAAAAUGUAGUCAAAGAUCCUCUGUAAGACAGGAGUCUUCAGCUUCUUCCAAAGACCUUCUGCAAAAAAGCUAGUCAAAGAUCCUCUAUGGCAGGAGUCUUCGGCUGCUUGUAAAGACCUUCUGCAAAAAAAAACAGUCAAAUAUCUUCUAAAUGGCAGGAGUCUUCAGCGGCUUCCAAAGACCUUCUGCACAAAAAGUAGCAAACAAUCCUCUAUAAGACAGGAGUCUUCAGCUGCUUCUAAAGACCUUCUGCAAAAAAAAAAAAAACGUCAAA